rnacentral:rRNA from 1 species
AGUGAACGUUGGCGGCGUGGAUUAGGCAUGCAAGUCGAGCGGGAGUAGCAAUACUCCAGCGGCGAAAGGGAGAGUAAUGCGUAGAUUACCUACCUCCAGGCCCGGGAUAGCCGUGGGAAACUGCGGGUAAUACCGGAUAAUGUCUCCGGACCAAAGGUGUGAUUCCGCCUGGAGACGGGUCUGCGUCCUAUCAGCUAGUUGGUGAGGUAACGGCUUACCAAGGCGACGACGGGUACGAGGCGUGAGAGCGUGUCCUCGCUCACUGGGACUGAGACACUGUCCAGACACCUACGGGUGGCUGCAGUCGAGAAUCUUCGUCAAUGGGCGCAAGCCUGAACGAGCGACGCCGCGUGCGGGAUGAAGGCCUUCGGGUUGUAAACCGCUGUCAGAGGGGAUGAAAUGCCGGUGGGUUCUCCCAUCGGUUUGACAGAUCCUCAGAGGAAGUACGGGCUAAGUUCGUGCCAGCAGCCGCAGUAAAAC